GCCGCCCCCUGUCACAAGUGUCAACGAGUGAAACAAACAGCCGUCUCGUAUUUAAGUGAACUAAAUGAACAUUAUUCGGUCGCUCUGUAACCGUUUGGACGGAUGCUCUUUAACAUAUCGACCACCGCGUUUAUAUUUGUCGCGAGUUGUGGCGAAGGCCCAGUGAGCGGUGAAUGCGUCCGGCGCCCGGCUGCAGGCUGCCCCCUCGAUGGUCUCUCCCACCAUGAAGGCGAUGGUGGACGCCGUGUGGGCGGUGUGGAGCAUCGGGGCCUCCGUCUAUGACUACAUCCACACCAGUGCCAUGGAGGAUCGGAUACACGCCCUGGAGAAGGUCACCACCGUCCACCAGUGUGCCAUCGGGCUGCUGUCGGCGGCCAUCUUGGUGCUCUUCACCUACGUCUUCCUCAAGAAGCUUUGAGAGUGAAGCAGACUGAGGGAUUCUAACAGAGUUGUAAGGUGAAAUAAUAUUAAUAAUCUCGUUUUUGGGAACAAACUGGCUGCAGGGUCCAUUGAACAUUUAUUGGAUGUAUGAUGUCACUCUGACAUCCUACUUUUAGUCAUUUUUAUUAUGGACACCUAACUUGCUAUUUAAAUUCAAUUAAAAUGAACCCUUAGGGCAGGGGUGUCAAACUGAUUUUUGUCAAAUCGUAAUCAAGACUUCCCUCGGCGGGCCGCUACGACUGAACCCAUAUAAAUGAAAGAUUACCACAUAUAUUCUAAUUACAUACAGUAUACACAACACAUUGAUGAAUAACCAGUUUUGAAAUCAGAAGCCUACAAAAACAUGUUUUUCAACUAUUACAUUUCUUUUCAACGUAGGAUUGGAAAAAAUGCUUGCAAAUAUCUCAGUGGUAUUACACCAGAACACAAUGAGCAAUUUUGAUUUGCUUUCGCGGGCCGCAUAAAAUGAUGUGAGGGGCCGGAUCUGGCUCCGGGGCCACCAGUUUGAUACCUGUACCUUGGGGGAUCUUAAGCAGUAAACAAAAUGUUCAGUGGUGCCUUGAGAUACAAGUGACUCGACCUUGGUGUUUUUCGAGAUACAAGCCAUCAUUUGAGUGUUUUUAUUUAUUUUUAUUUUUUUUUGCUUUGACUUGCAAGACUUGAUUUAUCAAAAAAGAAGCUUGAGUUGAGAGUUGAAGUUUACUGUCAAACUGAACAUAAAACAAAGAGAAUUACACCUUUGUUAAACAAUGCAAAAUUACAUUGACAUGCAUCGUCAGUUUUAGAAGCAAUGUGUAUUUGAACACAAACGCUACAGAUAAUAUAACAAUAUGCAGGCAUAUAUUUUUUAUCCUCUACAAAGAAUGACUACCAUUAGAGUAUCUGAUUGAGUAGCAGUUUUCUCCGUUUGUGUCUGCAUGACUGUAUUAUAAUGCCUGUCGGUGGCCAAGGCAGGCACCCCAAAAGAAGCAACACAGUGAACUGGAUUGCAGCAUUAAAUCAUGAUGCACAAACUGCUUCAUUCUUUACAUUCUAUUGAAUCAUGUUAGUACUCUCUUUAAAGUACUAUGUGCCAUUUCUCUUUAUUAAAAAGCAAACCAUUUUGGGGGAGGCGGGCCUGGAAUGGCCUACAGUGGACCCCCGUGGAUUCGCAGUUUGGCACCUGUGGAUUCACUUAGCCGCAGAUGUUUUUCUUUUUUUGGUUAACAUUUUUCUUUUUAGAGGUGGAACCAACUCCAGAAACACUGGUGGUUUAUCCCCAAUUAUUCAAGAACGUAUUCAGUAAAUAAAUUCCAUCCAUUUUCUGUACCGCUUAUUCUCACGAGGGUCGCGGGCGUGCUGGAGCCUAUCCCCAGCUAUCUUUGGGCGAGAGGCGGGGUACACCCUGAACUGGUCGCCAGCCAAUCACAGUGUAAAUAAAUACAUUAAUGAAUAAUUUAAUGCAAUUAUAACAGGUUUCAAUUAUCCGCCAAUUUUUGCUAUUCGCGUUCCGGCCCGGUCCCUAUCCGCCACAAAUAGCGGGGGUCCACUGUAAUGGCAUUUACAUUAAUUUCAAUUUGGGAAAGAUGAUUUUGAGUUGUGACAGUAUUGAGUAACAAGUGUGGUCGUGGGAAGAAUUAAACUCAUAUCUCAAGGCACCACUGUAUGAUUUCUGCAAAGAAAUAUCGCGUGAGUCGCAAAUAACAUGUACACACAGGCCACAACACUAGGUACACUUGCAAAACUUUACAAAGAUAAUGCUCAGUAAGGCUUGACACGGUCAGAGGGGUAUUUGUGUAUUAUGUUUCUUAUUGUAGUUUUACUUUGUGGUGGCGUACAACUGCACUUUCCAUUAUUCUCAUUGAGCGAAAUGAGACAGAAUGUACAUUUUUAGACACAAUAAACAUGUCAAAUGAAUACUGUACCUCUGACAAUGUCGAUUAAAAUGAACAUUCUGUUUUGUUAAGGAAAGCAUUUUAGCAAAUCCCGCUUAUUGUGCUGGAGUACCUAAUGUCAAGGUAAUUGCAUCAUUUUAAAAGGGAUCAUUAUUGAAAUACAUUGUUGCUAUUUUAUCUGCCUGAAGGAAUGUUACCUCUUAGCUUCUGAAGAUGACGUGUCGAUGACGGAAGUCAAGGUAUGGAAAUGUAUUUUUUAUCAGUCUACUGAUGGGGGAAGAAACCACUAUAUCACUAAAUUCAUCCUCCUUGUGUUCAAUUUAAUAAUUACAAUGUACCUAAAAUGCUUAGUUAACUUUAUACUCAAGAUGCUGUAUGAGGCAAUAAAGUGUCCUUAACACUG